GUCCCUUUUGAGGGACAUUCGAUAAAAUUGGAACAAUAUAGAGAAGAUUAGCAUGGUUGUUAUACAAAAGAUGUUUGGCAUAAAUCGAUUGUUUCAAAAGUUGA